CCUACGGGAGACAGCAGUGGGGAAUAUUGGGCAAUGGGCGCAAGCCUGACCCAGCAACGCCGCGUGAAGUAAGAAGGCUUUCGGGUUGUAAACUUCUUUUAAGAGGGAAGAGCAGAAGACGGUACCUCUUGAAUAAGCCACGGGUAACUACGUGCCAGCAGCUGCGGUAAUACGGAGGUGGCAGGUGUUGUCCGGAUUUACUGGGUGUAAAGGGCGUGCAGCCGGGAAGACAAGUCAGGUGUGAAAUCCCGCGGGUCAACCGCGGAACUGCAUUUGAAACUGGUUUUCUUGAGUACCGGAGAGGUCAGCGGAAUGCCUUGUGUAGCGGUGAAAUGCGUAGAUAUAAGGAAGAACACCAGUGGCGAAGGCAGAUGACUGGACGGCAACUGACGGUGAGGCGCGAAAGCGUGGGGAGCGAACAGGAUUAGAUACCCUAGUAGUC
rnacentral:rRNA from 1 species